rnacentral:rRNA from 1 species
AACGGCCGCGGUAUUUUGACCGCGUGAAGGUAGCGUAAUCAUUUGUCUUUUAAAUGAAGACCUGUAUGAAUGGCAUAACGAGGGCUUAACUGUCUCAUCCUCCCAGUCAAUGAAAUUGAUCUCCCCGUGCAGAAGCGGGGAUAAACACAUAAGACGAAAAGACCCUGUGGAGCUUUAGAUUACAGAGCAGCCUUAAUAAAACUUUUUAAAGCCCCUGCUCAUUUAUCUUCGGUUGGGGCGACCACGGAGAAAACUUAUCCUCCACGCUGCACAAAACACCAUGUUUCUAUAGCCAAGAGCGACAGCUCUAAGCACCAGAAUCUCUGACCCCAAAGAUCCGGACACACCGAUCAACGAACCAAGUUACCCCAGGGAUAACAGCGCAAUCCCCUUCUAGAGCCCUUAUCGACAAGGGGGUUUACGACCUCGAUGUUGGAUCAGGGCAUCCUAAU